UAUCCAGGGCGACUUACAAUUGUUACAAGAUAUCACAUAUAUAUUAUAUAUAUAUAUAUAAUAUAAUUUUUUUUUUUACUGACACCGGUAUUUACACACCCUUAUGUGUUUGUUUUUUUGUUAUUUGUGUUUCAAGACAUAUUUGGUUUAACUAAUUCUGGCAGAGAACUGAAAUACAUGGAAUGAUUGCUAUGCAAAGAAGAAAAAUGCUAUGCAAUAGGAGUCUCACUUCCAUUUACAUAUGUAAUUCUGUUAUUGAAAUUUAGACUAAUUUUUAUAGGGCUGUGUUCGAUGGUUCGUUUGCUAGCCAUAUGUAUAAUGCAUAUUACGUAAACAAAUGUAUUAAAAUCCGCUACUAAAUUGUUAUACAUUACGUAAAACUGUACAUGGCUCCGAUGCCAUGUAUGGAGCAGGGUAUAGUAUCCAAAGCAAUGGGCUCAUACCUCUAGUGGCUGUAUUGCUUCAGUAAAAUAUGUAUUGAAUAUCUAGUGUACAAGACAGUGCAAGAGAAGUGCUAUGGUAGAAUAUGUAUGAAACAUACAAAAUAUACGCAAACACUAAUAAUUUCAAUUUCGAAAAAGCUCCUCCAGAUUGUGUUAACCAGAAGCACAUUUUUUCAUUCGCAAUCUCGACAGCAAAGCACUGUAUAGCGUAAGCUGUAUUGAAAUAAAUGUCUCGAAACCCCACUGCUGUUUGGGAUUUUUUUGUUAAAUGCCCAGAUGACCAAAAAAAAAGUUGAAUGCAAACUGUACAAGCGACUCGUAUCAUGGAGGCAGUAACCAAUCUCUGGGCUCACUUGACAAGCGUUCUUAAAUGAAGUGAUUCAGUGAUUCCUGAUUCUGAUGGGAGAUUCAAGUAUUGGGACAUCGGUGGAGACAACAAUGAAACGGCUGAUCAUACAGAACUUUUACUCUGACAACGGGACCAUCGAAACUGCUAUUAUGUUGAAAAACAAAUGUCUGAUUACGAGAUCACCUACCAUGGAAUUUUUUAAUAAUGUGACAUUUGAAUGAUGAUUCACUGUAGUGUUGAAUAUGUCUUAAAUAAAUGAAAGAAAUUUA